rnacentral:lncRNA from 1 species
UGAUACUCGGGAGUCGACUCGAGUCUCAGACUUUGGUUCAAGCUGACUUCUUAACUUAUCCAAAAUACUAUGAACCAUGUCUAGAGACACUUAGGCAAGAUUUUCACUGAAACACUUAAUUGAAUUCAUUAGUAAACAAGAGAUAUACUCAAAUGCUUUGAGCUCAUCAAAAUCAAAUAGGGUUUUAAUCAAUCACUCCACAAUCUCCCCCUUUUUGAUGAUGACAAAAUAUUGAGUAUAUGUAAAGUGAAUUGCUCAAUAAACAAUGAAAUAAAAUCCAUAAAUGAAUUCAAAUGUCUGGUAAUUCAAUUUAUCCAAGCUUGAAAGGAGUGAAACAAUAAAUUUCGGAGUUAAAGCUCCCCCUUUCAUUUGGAAUUAUAUAAGCCUUCAUAUUAUGCAAUUAAUUGUUUGGCUUAU